rnacentral:rRNA from 1 species
AACGAACGCUGGCGGCAUGCCUAACACAUGCAAGUCGAACGAGACCUUCGGGUCUAGUGGCGAACGGGUGCGUAACGCGUGGGAACCUGCCCUUAGGUGCGGAAUAACUCCCCGAAAGGGGUGCUAAUACCGGAUAAUGUCUUCGGACCAAAGAUUUAUCGCCUUUGGAUGGGCCCGCGUUGGAUUAGCUAGUUGGUAGGGUAAAAGCCUACCAAGGCGACGAUCCAUAGCUGGUCUGAGAGGAUGAUCAGCCACACUGGGACUGAGACACGGCCCAGACUCCUACGGGAGGCAGCAGUGGGGAAUAUUGGACAAUGGGCGAAAGCCUGAUCCAGCAAUGCCGCGUGAGUGAUGAAGGACUUAGGGUUGUAAAGCUCUUUUAACCGGGAUGAUAAUGACAGUACCGGGAGAAUAAGCGCCGGCUAACUCCGUG